GAUGAACGCUGGCGGCGUGCCUAAUACAUGCAAGUCGAGCGAACGGACGAGAAGCUUGCUUUUCUGAUGUUAGCGGCGGACGGGUGAGUAACACGUGGAUAACCUACCUAUAAGACUGGGAUAACUUCGGGAAACCGGAGCUAAUACCCGAUAAUAUUUUGAACCGCAUGGUUCAUCAGUGAAAGACGGUCUUGCUGUCACUUAUAGAUGGAUCCGCGCUGCAUUAGCUAGUUGGUAAGGUAACGGCUUACCAAGGCAACGAUGCAUAGCCGACCUGAGAGGGUGAUCAGCCACACUGGAACUGAGACACGGUCCAGACUCCUACGGGAGGCAGCAGUAGGGAAUCUUCCGCAAUGGGCGAAAGCCUGACGGAGCAACGCCGCGUGAGUGAUGAAGGUCUUCGGAUCGUAAAACUCUGUUAUUAGGGAAGAACAGAUGUGUAAGUAACUGUGCACAUCUUGACGGUACCUAAUCAGAAAGCCACGGCUAACUACGUG
rnacentral:rRNA from 1 species